GAUCUUCAGUUGAGAAACUAUUCUAACGAAAACAUGUUGCAUUAUUAGAGUCCGGAUCCCUCGCCUGUUUUUACAAAAACAUCGCCUCUUGCAAAUAAUGAAUAAGAGGUCCCGCCUGCCCUGUGACUAUAUGUUCAACGGCCGCGGUAUUUUGACCGUGCGAAGGUAGCGUAAUCACUUGUCUUUUAAAUGAAGACCUGUAUGAAUGGCACCACGAGGGCUUAACUGUCUCCCUCUCCCAGUCAAUGAAAUUGAUUCCCCCGUGCAGAAGCGGGGAUAAAAGCAUAAGACGAGAAGACCCUAUGGAGCUUAAGACGCCAGGACAGCUCAUGUUAAACACUCCAAAAUAAAGGAAAUAAACUGAUUGAAACCCUGUCCUAGUGUCUUUGGUUGGGGCGACCACGGGGAAAAAUCUAACCCCCAUGUGGAAUAGGAAUACUAUUUUCCCAUACCCAAGAGUUCCCGCUCUAAUAAACAGAACUUCUGACCAAAAUGGAUCCGGCAAUGCCGAUCAACGGACCGAGUUACCCUAGGGAUAACAGCGCAAUCCUCUUAAAGAGUCCCUAUCGACAAGGGGGUUUACGACCUCGAUGUUGGAUCAGGACAUCCUAAUGGUGCAGCCGCUAUAAGGGCGAAUGGCGGAUGCUAGUC
rnacentral:rRNA from 1 species